rnacentral:rRNA from 1 species
UACAGAGGGGGCAAGCGUUGUUCGGAAUUACUGGGCGUAAAGGGCGCGUAGGCGGCCCGCUAAGUCGAACGUGAAAUCCCCGAGCUCAACUCGGGAACUGCGUCCGAUACUGGCGGGCUUGAAUCCGGGAGAGGGAUGCGGAAUUCCAGGUGUAGUGGUGGAAUGCGUAGAGAUCGGGAGGAACACCCGUGGCGAAGGCGAUGGCCUGGACCUCGAGCUGACGCUGAGGCGCGAAAGCGUGGGGAGCGAUCCGG